GCCAACUCAACUUUGUUGUUUUGUGAGUUCUUCCACCAGGUAACAACAGAAAAUCUGUUCUUAGUUUUAUUUUCUCUCUACUCCCACUGUUUUUUUUAUGAUUCAUUUUGAGUGUCUGGGUCGACCAUUGCAUUAAACUCAUUGGGAGAAUAGAAAGGCUUCGGGGACAGACAGGCUGAAAAUGAAAACAAGUGACCCCUGCUGGUCGAUCAAGCACCUGCAAGUCUGCUUGUUAAGCCGCACAUGAAUCGCCUUCCUCCGGCUCCUGUCAGCGCAAGCCUGAGGUGCAGCUGCGGUUUCAUAAGGAGUGGCCCUCGACAUUGUUCUUCAGACAGAGUACAUGCUUUAAUGCAUCCUCCCUAUAAGCAACCAGAGCCUGGGCUCCAGUUCAUGAAUGCUGAUAUAUGAAUGUGUAUUCUAAAUUGUGAAAGGGGGUAAAAAGCAAAUAAAUAAAGAAAACAAAUAAUUCA